rnacentral:rRNA from 1 species
GACGAACGCUGGCGGCGUGCCUAAUACAUGCAAGUAGAACGCUGAAGGAGGAGCUUGCUUCUCUGGAUGAGUUGCGAACGGGUGAGUAACGCGUAGGUAACCUGCCUGGUAGCGGGGGAUAACUAUUGGAAACGAUAGCUAAUACCGCAUAAGAGUAGAUGUUGCAUGACAUUUGCUUAAAAGGUGCAAUUGCAUCACUACCAGAUGGACCUGCGUUGUAUUAGCUAGUUGGUGGGGUAACGGCUCACCAAGGCGACGAUACAUAGCCGACCUGAGAGGGGGAUCGGCCACACUGGGACUGAGACACGGCCCAGACUCCUACGGGAGGCAGCAGUAGGGAAUCUUCGGCAAUGGACGGAAGUCUGACCGAGCAACGCCGCGUGAGUGAAGAAGGUUUUCGGAUCGUAAAGCUCUGUUGUGAGAGAAGAACGAGUGUGAGAGUGGAAAGUUCACACUGUGACGGUAUCUUACCAGAAAGGGACGGCUAACUACGUG